UACGUAGGGUGCGAGCGUUGUCCGGAAUUAUUGGGCGUAAAGAGCUCGUAGGCGGUUUGUCGCGUCUGCUGUGAAAACCCGAGGCUCAACCUCGGGCCUGCAGUGGGUACGGGCAGACUAGAGUGCGGUAGGGGAGAUUGGAAUUCCUGGUGUAGCGGUGGAAUGCGCAGAUAUCAGGAGGAACACCGGUGGCGAAGGCGGGUCUCUGGGCCGAUACUGACGCUGAGGAGCGAAAGCGUGGGGAGCGAACAGG
rnacentral:rRNA from 1 species